UACGAAGGGUGCAAGCGUUACUCGGAAUUACUGGGCGUAAAGCGUGCGUAGGUGGUUUUUUAAGUCCGUUGUGAAAGCCCUGGGCUCAACCUGGGAAUGGCAGUGGAUACUGGAAAGCUAGAGUGCGGUAGAGGGUAGUGGAAUUCCCGGUGUAGCAGUGAAAUGCGUAGAGAUCGGGAGGAACACCAGUGGCGAAGGCGGCCUUCUGGACCAGCACUGACACUCAAGCACGAAAGCGUGGGGAGCAAACAGG
rnacentral:rRNA from 1 species